rnacentral:rRNA from 1 species
UACAGAGGUCCCAAGCGUUGUUCGGAUUCACUGGGCGUAAAGGGCGCGUAGGCGGCCCUCCUUGUCGCGUGUGAAAGCCCCGGGCUCAACCUGGGAACGGCGCGCGAGACGGGGGGGCUGGAGUUCGGGAGAGGAGCGUGGAAUUCCCAGUGUAGAGGUGAAAUUCGUAGAUAUUGGGAAGAACACCGGUGGCGAAGGCGGCGCUCUGGACCGAGACUGACGCUGAGGCGCGAAAGCGUGGGGAGCAAACAGG